ACCCAAUAGAUACCCGGGUAGUCCACGCCCUAAACGAUGUAUGCUUGGUGUUGGCUCGUAUGAGUCAGUGCCGUAGGUAAACCUGAUAAGCAUACCACCUGGGGAGUACGCUCGCAAGGGUGAAACUCAAAGGAAUUGACGGGGGCCCGCACAAGCGGUGGAGCAUGUGGUUUAAUUCGAGGCUACGCGAAGAACCUUACCCAGGUUUGACAUCCUGCUAAUCUUUCCGAAAGGAGAGAGUGCCUUCGGGCCGCAGUGACAGGUGCUGCAUGGCCGUCGAAAAGCUCGUGUCGUGAGAUGUUUGGUUUAGUCCAUCAACGAGCGCAACCCCUGUAGUUAGUUGGAUUUUUCUAGCUAGACUGCCUCGGUAACGGGGAGGAAGGAGGGGAAGACGUCAGGUCAGUAUUGCCCUUACACCUGGGGCUACAAACACGCUACGAUGGCCGGUACAAAGGGCUGCCAACCCGCAAGGGGGAGCAAAUCCCAUCAAAGCCGGUCUCAGUUCGGAUUGCAGGCUGAAACUCGCCUGCAUGAAGCUGGAAUCGC
rnacentral:rRNA from 1 species